AGUUACAGUGGAGUGAGAUGAAAUAUCCCCUUAGUAAUAACUUCUCAUGUAAUUGUUGUAAUAUUGUAGUUUGAGAACUAUAACAUUAUUAAGGCAUUGCCCAAUGCUUGAUAAAUUUGAAUUUUGUCAUUCUGUUCUCCUACAAAUUUACCUUAGCUUGAAAGUUACAGCUAUGACAGACUGAACCCUGCAGUAUUACUGAGAGAGAGCUUGGAUAUUUUAAGUAUCUCCUAAUAGACACUUUUUUUGUCAACUUGUUUUAAUGUUUAACUGAAAACUAAUUUUUAAAUUAUUUUGCAUAUUUUCGAAGUUAGGAAAACAUGUUUGACCUUAGACAUCAAAACCAGAUUAUUCCGAGUGCAUGCUGCAGAGUGACUCUGCUCUGUCUACACAGGGUGCCAUUUUUGGCAUAGGAGUUGUCUAAAUAUAGGUCACUUAUGUGAAAUGAUUAUGCUGGGUUUGAUCAGUGUGCAGUGUUUUAGUACUUGCC
rnacentral:lncRNA from 1 species